rnacentral:lncRNA from 1 species
CGGAAAUUACUCCCUCUCUCCCUCCUUCCUUAAAUAUUUCUUUUUACGAUCAUAUUCUUGCAAUAAAUACAUCUUCUUGAUCAUCAAUUCUCAUUCACCACAUCAAAGAACUCUCCCAAAUAUCUGUUUUUUUAUGACUUGUUGAAGGAUAUAUAGGAGAAGAAUGUGUGCACAAAACUCAGAUUUCAUCAGGUCAUCUCAUCCUAUUUAUUCAACUGUUCCAAGGCGACGACGAGUACCCAACAGAUUAAAUAGGUAAGCUUUUUCAAUAUACAUCCCCAUGCAAAUGAGCAAUCAGUAAUAAUUAUAUGGAACAGGAGGUGGAGAAUAAUGUCAAAGGAGGCAGUAAAAAGGGCUAAGCUGAGGAAGAUGAAGGUACAAAUGGCAAUGGAUAACUUGAAGCUUUACAUAAGGAACAAGACCAUUAUUGAAGAGAAUCAAAGGCUGAGAAAGAAAACACUUGUUCUUCAUCAAGAGAACAAAGCCUUGAUGUCUCAACUCCUCCUCAAACUUUAUCAUUAAUCUUAGGACCCUAUAUUAUUUAUAAUUCCGUUCUUAGACUUUAAUCUUUUUCUUAGCGAAGUUCUCAUAAUUAAAAUGAAUAAAUAAAAAGUUAAAUUUUUGCUCUUUAUUAUAUAUGGUAUUGGAAUCACCCUUUGUUAUCAUAUCAUAUGGAGAGACAUAAGUAAACAAGUCAAUAUACAAUCUUUAGCCUCGUGUAUGAAUUAAAAUAACUAAUUAUGGGAUGCUGUAUA